rnacentral:pre_miRNA from 1 species
GUAUUAUCAUGAGUUCCCUUCAAGCACUUCACGUGGCAUAUUUUCAAGGCCUAUCGUGAAGUGUUUGGGGGAACUCUUGGUAUUAC